GAAAGUGUUGAAGAACUUGAUUAUUUCACUGAAAACAUCCAUCAAAAGCUUCCAAUUCUUGGUGACAAGUGUGAUCAACAUAUAAACCAACACAAUAGUCCAAACAGAAACAAGAUAAAGGAAUCCAUCAGCAAAAGUGAAGAUAACUGGUUUAAUGAAGUAAUGAUGGAUGAGGAUGACUGGUUGGCUGUUUUGUAAAUCUAGUUUUAUACAUUGAAUGAAGAGAUAGUGAUUGUACUAAAAAAUGUUAUUUCUCAUUCCUUAACCAUAACUAUUUCUGAUAAAUUCUAGACCUUUCAGUGUUAAUUUUCCAUUAAAGUAUUAUUUUGUACUAAAUAAAUAAAUACUCAGAUUGUGA